AAAAUACGGGAGGCAGCAGUGGGGAAUAUUGGACAAUGGAGGUAACUCUGAUCCAGCAAUUCUGUGUGCAUGAAGAAGGUUUUCGGAUUGUAAAGUGCUUUCAGCAGGGAAGAAGAAAGUGACGGUACCUGCAGAAGAAGCGACGGCUAAAUACGUGCCAGCAGCCGCGGUAAUUUU
rnacentral:rRNA from 1 species